UCCGGUUUGUCACCGGCAGUCUCCUUAGAGUUCCCACCAUUACGUGCUGGCAACUAAGGACAAGGGUUGCGCUCGUUGCGGGACUUAACCCAACAUCUCACGACACGAGCUGACGACAGCCAUGCAGCACCUGUGUUCCGAUUCCCGAAGGCACUCCCGCAUCUCUGCAGGAUUCCGGACAUGUCAAGGCCAGGUAAGUUGGGGAUGACGUUUAGGAGCUCGAC
rnacentral:misc_RNA from 1 species